CUUUGGGACUGGUAGCCAAAGGCAAAGAGAGGUGCACUAGGUAUCUUGUGGCAUUAGAGAUGACAUCCAAGCAACUGAAUGGAAUCUUAAAUCUUGACUGACUACAAUGGAAUCUUAGGCAUCAAGAGCAGAACAUGUCUAUAUAUACACUUACAGCUAGGGAUCUCAAACUUGAAUGGAAUUCAACCUGGUAAGGGUGAGAUGAAGGAGCCCAGGAUGAAUAGGUGGCCAAUGCAGUUUCAUUCGCAAUUCUACUGCUGUUCCAGCUUAUCUCUACCAUCCCACAGGUUCUCUGUGAUAGCUCCCAGUCCCAUGAAAAUGUCUCAGAUACCUGUGGAUGUUGCAAAUAACACUUGACACCUCUGGAAAGACAACUGAAUCAGGCCUCAACAUUCAUUCAGACAACUUAUCUGCACACACACAUACACACACAAAUAAAAAAAUUCCAACACUCUAAUGUGUUCAAAUGUGUUAGGAAAUGCAUGAUUAGAUGCUGUCUAAUUGCAAAUAAUAGGCCUAAAAUGUCAUUUACCUACACUUUCUGUGAUUAUCUAAAAUUAAGUCAUCAUAUAAUCAUCAAUAACUGAAGGAAAAAUACCUGUUGUCCAAAGCCUGAGAGCUAUAUGCAAUACUCAAAGAUCCUUGGUAUAACAUUCAUUAGAAAGUGCAAUGUAACAGUAUUAACUGAAUUCUGCUGAAACUCUUUUUUUUUAACAAAGCUUUCUCCAUGGAAAUUUCCUCUACAGCAUAAUUCAUUGGAAAUGGAUAUGAAGGUUUUUUUUUUCAGAGCAGGGCACAUUGAUCAGCUCCACCUCUCCAGGUGCAUUUUCUGCGUGCAUCACUGAAAAAUCAUUUGUGUAUUCACAUCUGACACUUUUACAUGAAACAUAGGACCUGUUCUUUUUAUGUGCUUUUUACACUAUGUAAACAUCAACAUCAUGUAUUUUCUAAAUAUAUAAUCACCAUUUUAUGUUUUCUCGAACAUCUGUAACAAUUUCUGGUGUUGAUGACCCUCAGGUCUUCGUUGUAUUCUCUCAGCCAACACAUGGAAGUACUUACAAAAUGGAAAGUUUUGCUGGGUGGGGCUCAGAUUUCUACCUGUGAGCAUAUUUGUAGCCAUAUUUCAAAUCAAAAGACACAGCAGAAUGAUGCAGUAAUCUGUCCUUGGAGCUCUGAGCUAGUAUUAACAUCACUAUUAUAGCUUGUUCCUAAUUAAGCGGGAAGACUUCUCAAAGACUUAUUCAAAAUAAGAAACAGAAGCGAAAAGAGAGGAACAGAAAAAGGAAAAUGCAGUUAAAUUUGGAAUCUGUGUCCACUUUUCAAACAGCACACGAAGAUAGGCAGAAAAAUUGAGAGCACUAGUGACUGAAAGUGAGAAGUCUUAUUUUGGCCUUGGAGUUGAAAGGUUCAGUUUCAGUGCAAAGUGCUUUAAAAAUAGCUAUGCUGACAAAUGAUUAACGUCUACUACUUUAAACAAAAAGCUGAAAGAAGCCUAAGAAACUGGUAUCGAUAUACAGCAGAUUCUCAGUUUCUCAACUGAUUACUUAGGAAACACUGAGAAAGCUCCCUGUUAAAAGGCAAUUAUGAGAAGAAUGUGUACUUGCAGAAAGGAACUUGGCCUCAGAAAGAUGCAUCUAAUUGAGCCGAAGGUAGGAAUAAAGGAAUGAGGUGUUCCUCCCAUGCGCGUAUUCAAUGAAGUCUGAUAGCACAUGAUGGUUGUGCUAAACAUUGGUUCUCUUAACCUUGGAAACUGAGUGAAGAAUGGAAAGUGUGGCAUAUUAGAUGUACAGUUUGAUGCUAUCCUACUUGAAUAACUAUUCAUUCCAAAUUUUUCUUGUUUUCCCUGAUGAAAGUUCACUAUCAUGGAAUUUAAUCCUUUUGUUUAUUUAAACAGUGCUUAAUAUGCAGCUGGAGUUAACAUCUUCACUUUGUAACUAUUUGAGUACUGGUACAGCCACCUCUACAAGGAGAUUGAGGACCCAUAGCCCACUUCAUGCCUUACUUCUCAAUUGACACUCUUCAGCUCUCUGAAUAAAAAGACUCUUUUACUCAAGAAAAAGUAACAAAUAAAAGUAUUUUUUUUAAAAAAAAGAUCAGGUUUUUUUCUAUGGUAGAAUUUGAGCUUUUAAUGAAAAACUGAAAAUAUCUUCACUCUGAAAUGUCACUUUGGUGCUCACCUGGUUCAUCCAUGGAUUAAAGGGGACCAGAGAUACAGAAAGCACGAGCCAAUGCCACAACCAAACACCUAUGUUUCAAUGGAAACUGAAAUCUCAAAACAGAUCAAGACUGAGCUAUUUAUGUUUCUGUGGUAAAACUUCCACAUCAGACACUUUCACGAACAUUUAAUUGAAAGUUCCAUUUUUCUUUUGAAACAGCCUCAGAUGAAUUUUCUUGGACUCACAGUGGUUGAAUUGUUGGCCAGAGAGGCUAUACAUAUAAACAACCAUCCACAACGGGUCAGCUUGUCAUUUCACAGUGGAAAUAGUCACUCAGAUAUGAAGUGUAUUCCCUGCUGUUAACCCACUAAAUCAUUCAAUUCAUUACUUAAAAUUGAUAAUAAUUUUCACUUUCUUUGCUGCACCAUAUUUGAAGCUAUUGAUCUAAAACUUCACAGUUUUUUUUUACCUUCCUCCUUUCUGGCUUUGAUAGAUCUCAGUUACCCACGGGAUACCAGUCCAGCUCAAAAAAUACCUCUUUUUAGGAUAGAAUUCCACUGACAUAUAUUUGGCUGUAAAUUAGGAAUGUCUUAUCCAUCAGCUGCUUUCUACCACGAAGCAACACUGCCUCUUCCCUUGUACAUAAAAAAGCAAAAUGCUGGUGGAGAUAUAACAUUAAUUAAAAUAAAACAAAACAAAACAAACAAACAAACAAACAAAAAAAAAAACAAAAAGAUACCAUGAACUUGUAGAGUAGUUUUAUUAAGCUGGCUUGUGUUAUAUCUGUAGUUUCAGCCUAGUUCAUGAGAAUCCAGCUUGCUACUGUCAUAUUUUUGUUGUUCUCUUUUUUAAUGUUUUAAUAAACACAUUUAUU
rnacentral:lncRNA from 1 species